rnacentral:rRNA from 1 species
UACGUAGGGGGGCUAGCGUUGUCCGGAAUCAUUGGGCGUAAAGAGCGCGUAGGCGGCCAGAUAAGUCCGGUGUGAAAGUCACAGGCUCAACCUGUGAAUGCCGCUGGAAACUGUCUGGCUAGAGUCCGGGAGGGGCGAGUGGAAUUCCUGGUGUAGCGGUGAAAUGCGCAGAUAUCAGGAGGAACACCAAUGGCGAAGGCAGCUCGCUGGGACGUGACUGACGCUGAGACGUGAAAGCGUGGGGAGCAAACAGG